CUGGUCUUGAAAUUCAAUAAGUUCUUCCUCUUUUGUGUUCAAAAUGUUGUCGUUCUGCAUGUAGAUAAGCUUUUUCACAUUUUAGAAGUUGCUCUAACAUGCUAGUAUGCCUGAAAUGUUUGCAUGUGUGCUAUAUUUUUAUUUGUGCUUAAUUUUAGUUGUGCUUUAGCUUUUGUUUGUUUAGAUAUGUAUUUUAGUAGUGCUUUGCAUGAUUUUCAAUGUGUCUAUGCUGUUAUAUAUCUUGUCUGCAUGUUUGUGUGUUUAAAUGUUGUGUUUAUGUUAUUUGUACUCGGUAAAAAGCUCUUAAGAGUUUAUGUUUGUAUUCUUAUAUGUAAACCGAAUCAAAAUAAAACUUUCGUAUUCGUAUUCGUAUUUUCAUGGGAAACAUGUUCAAGAAUAUUGGACAUUUCCAAGCGAGAUAGCCCAAGUUAAUUGUUUAAGAAAUUUUUAUAAAAACUCUGAUAGUUCUAAAUUGCUCACCGAGAUAUAUUUGUAUUAUGA
rnacentral:lncRNA from 1 species